GCCGGCUUAACACAUGCAAGUCGAGCGGUAGCACAGGGGAGCUUGCUCCCUGGGUGACGAGCGGCGGACGGGUGAGUAAUGUCUGGGAAACUGCCUGAUGGAGGGGGAUAACUACUGGAAACGGUAGCUAAUACCGCAUAACGUCGCAAGACCAAAGAGGGGGACCUUCGGGCCUCUUGCCAUCAGAUGUGCCCAGAUGGGAUUAGCUAGUAGGUGGGGUAAUGGCUCACCUAGGCGACGAUCCCUAGCUGGUCUGAGAGGAUGACCAGCCACACUGGAACUGAGACACGGUCCAGACUCCUACGGGAGGCAGCAGUGGGGAAUAUUGCACAAUGGGCGCAAGCCUGAUGCAGCCAUGCCGCGUGUGUGAAGAAGGCCUUCGGGUUGUAAAGCACUUUCAGCGAGGAGGAAGGUGGUGAACUUAAUACGCUCAUCAAUUGACGUUACUCGCAGAAGAAGCACCGGCUAACUCCGUGCCAGCAGCCGCGGUAAUACGGAGGGUGCAAGCGUUAAUCGGAAUUACUGGGCGUAAAGCGCACGCAGGCGGUUUGUUAAGUCAGAUGUGAAAUCCCCGGGCUCAACCUGGGAACUGCAUUUGAAACUGGCAAGCUAGAGUCUCGUAGAGGGGGGUAGAAUUCCAGGUGUAGCGGUGAAAUGCGUAGAGAUCUGGAGGAAUACCGGUGGCGAAGG
rnacentral:rRNA from 1 species